rnacentral:lncRNA from 1 species
CUAGGGGCAACACGAGGGUAUUGAUUCCAGAAGAAUUAUGAUGAUGCAUAAAGGAAAUGCCUGCGUCACAUAGAAAUAUGCUAUAAUUGGCUAGUUCCAGUUGGCCAAACCAUGUUUUGAAGAAGGGGCUCUUUGAUUGGUGGUAGAGAUAUUCAUCUCCAGUGACAUUCUUCUACUCAUUGUCUUCAGCGUUACCCUGGUGGUACUGCAUAUCCAUGGAGAGACUAUGCUGUAAAGGAAAGGGUCUCAGAAUCUUCUUCCUCUAGGGUUUCAUGGUCCCUGAGAAAUGAUCUUGGAUCCUUGACCUUUUAAUUUGUUCUUUUCCAUUCUAGAUGAAAGGAGGAGUGAUACACAAGGGAAGAAUUGAGGAUGACUCAGAGAUUACAAUCCCAGCUGAGUGGAAGGAUGGUGGUCCCCUUAAAAUAAAGAGGAAAAGAAGAGAUUUUCAUGGAGGGCAAAGAUAAUGAUUUCAGGUUUAAAUAUUUAACUUUGAAAUGUCUAUAGAAUAGCUGUGUUUCCUAGUGCUUUUUCGGUUGUGUAUGUGCAUACACAGAUAUAUGUAUAUAUAUGUAUAUAUAUAUGUAUGUGUGUUAAUGCAUAUGAAUAUUGUAUUGUAUAUAUACUACAUACAUGUGUAUGUGUAGAUAUAUCCAUGAAACAUCUGUAUAGAAGAUGAAGAUAAAC